rnacentral:rRNA from 1 species
CCUACGGGAGGCAGCAGUGGGGAAUAUUGCGCAAUGGGCGGAAGCCUGACGCAGCGACGCCGCGUGGGGGAUGACGGCCUUCGGGUUGUAAACCUCUUUCGCCAUCGACGAAGCCUUCGGGUGACGGUGGGUGGAGAAGAAGCACCGGCCAACUACGUGCCAGCAGCCGCGGUAAUACGUAGGGUGCGAGCGUUGUCCGGAAUUAUUGGGCGUAAAGAGCUCGUAGGCGGUGUGUCGCGUCGGUCGUGAAAACUUGGGGCUUAACCCUGAGCUUGCGGUCGAUACGGGCAUCACUUGAGUUCGGCAGGGGAGACUGGAAUUCCUGGUGUAGCGGUGAAAUGCGCAGAUAUCAGGAGGAACACCGGUGGCGAAGGCGGGUCUCUGGGCCGAUACUGACGCUGAGGAGCGAAAGCAUGGGUAGCGAACAGGAUUAGAUACCCUGGUAGUCCAUGCCGUAAACGGUGGGCGCUAGGUGUGGGGGCCAUUCCACGGUCUCUGUGCCGCAGCUAACGCAUUAAGCGCCCCGCCUGGGGAGUACGGCCGCAAGGCUAAAACUCAAAGGAAUUGACGGGGGCCCGCACAAGCGGCGGAGCAUGUGGAUUAAUUCGAUGCAACGCGAAGAACCUUAC